rnacentral:rRNA from 1 species
CAGCCGCCGCGGGAAAACGAAGGGGGCUAGCGUUGUUCGGAUUUACUGGGCGUAAAGCGCACGUAGGCGGAUCGUUAAGUCGGGGGUGAAAUCCUGGAGCUCAACUCCAGAACUGCCUUCGAUACUGGCGAUCUUGAGUCCGGAAGAGGUGAGUGGAACUCCUAGUGUAGAGGUGGAAUUCGUAGAUAUUAGGAAGAACACCAGUGGCGAAGGCGGCUCACUGGUCCGGUACUGACGCUGAGGUGCGAAAGCGUGGGGAGCAAACAGGAUUAGAUACCCGAGUAGUCCCUGUCUCUUAUAC